GAUGAAGAACGUAGCGAAAUGCGAUACUUGGUGUGAAUUGCAGAAUCCCGUGAACCAUCGAGUCUUUGAACGCAAGUUGCGCCCGAAGCCAUUAGGCCGAGGGCACGCCUGCCUGGGCGUCACACGUCGUUGCCCCCCCAUCUACUCCUUCGGGAUUGCGGGGGGCGGAUGAUGGCCUCCCGUGCGCCUCGUCGCGCGGUUGGCAUAAAUGCCAAGUCCCCGGCGACACACGCCCCGACAAUCGGUGGUUGCGAAACCUCGGUUGCCCGUCGUGUGCGGUCGUCGCGCAUCGAGGGCUCGAAAAAAUUGCCGGGCUCCGGCUCGGCUUUCAACGCGACCCCAGGUCAGGCGGGGUUACCCGCUGAAUUUAAGCAUAUCAAUAAGCGGAGGA
rnacentral:misc_RNA from 1 species